UUCUCGGUGCGUGUGGGGCCGGUGCACAGCAGCCCUUUAAUUGACCCAUCAGCCCGAAAGUAUGUCGGUCCGUUGGUCAAAAUGACUGGUGUGCCAGAUUACCAUCCCAGCCCUGUGUGUUACUCACAUGUGAUAUCCUGAAAAAAUCUCUUCUCUUUACUGAUGCAGACCUGUUUCCCACCAGCAAGGAUGAAGGAGCCAGCUCCACACAAUACUUGGCAAGCUUUCUGAAGGAAAUGAGAAUGGCUCCAUCCAUCCAGCUGAGAGGACACUUCCUGUCUCAGAUGACACUGCAUAGAUCAGGUUGGAGCAGAGAAACGCUUCCUGGCGUCAGAGGUCAUUUCCUAUACGUCCAUACAUCAGGAGAAGAGGACACUUUCUGAAUUCAGAUUUCGAACAUGAGAAUGUGGACUAACGGAGGUGAGGAUUGGACCACCAACUUUCUGAUCAGCAGAUAACCUGUCUGCCUCCCGAGUCCUGGCAGUGGAGGGUUAAUAGGAAGAACCAACAAGUCCUGACAUGUCUUCCUUUAAAGAGAUAUGAUCAGAUUUUGAAAAACUGAUCCUCAAAUAUGAAACGAGCUCACGUGUGUGAGCGCAUUAUUUUACUUUGCAAAGGUCAAAUAUGAAGUAAAGUCUCAGGAGUGUCAUUUCAUCUGCUGAUCAUGUGUAAGAAAAGCUGCUGCAGACAUCAGAUGGUCAUCCAGUGGAAACCUGUCACUCCCAGGCAGGUUUGGCUUCACAUAACUCUAAUCUAUGCUUUAAUCCCUGUCUGCACUGAAGACGGUGGGCUGUCGUUAAUGACGGUGAGAGCUUUCUUUUCCUAAAUGCUGAAUUCAGAAUUAACACGAAGUCAAGUUUUAAUGUGAUUACUCUCAACCUAAAAACCCCAAGUUAAAUCCAAAGAAAAUUUGUGCUUAGUGACACAGAGAGAGGCAAAAGGAUGUCCAUGUGUUCUGAAAAUUCUCUUCAUGCUCUCCCACAAACUGUAGAGCUGAAACUGAAGCAACACUUUGCUAAUUUCUGCCAAACAAUAAAACCAAAAAAACACAUUCAGAUUCAUCUUCAGUAAGAGGCUGCAUUUACUCACAAGAACCAUAACAAAAGUGUUUCGAGAUCAGAGAGGCUAAGGACAAUUACAGGAGGAAGCUGGAGUGGAAGCUCCAGCAGAACAGCAUGAGAAAGGUGUGGAGGGGCAUGAAGACCAUCACUGGAUUCAGGCCAACCAACAGCAGGGGAGCUGAGGGAGGUGAGAAUAGAGCUAACGAGUUGAAUCUGUUUUUCAAUAUAUUCGACACCACAGUGUCUGCUCCCACCCCCACAACCUCACCUGUAGUCAGCCUGGAAUCCAGAGCCACACCACUGUGCCAGCCUCUCUCUUCACAUGGCGCUGUUGCCUCCUGGGAGAUUCCUGACACCCCUCCCCCACCCAUCACCUUCACUCAAUACCAGGUUGAGAUGCAAAUGAGGAGACUUCACUCAGGCAAGUCUGCUGGACCAGAUGGAGUGAGUCCCCUCGUCCUCAAGACCUGUGCCCCCCAGCUGUGUGGACUCUUUCAUAAACUGUUCAUGCUGAGUCUGAAUCUGCAGAGGGUACCAGUGAUGUGGAAGACAUCAUGUCUCGUCCCAGUGGCCCCCAGGAUUACAGGCCCGUGGCACUGACCUCCCACAUCAUGAAGACCCUGGAAAGGCUCAUCCUGGACCAGCUGUGACCCAUAGUAAGACCACAUCUGGAUCCCCUUCAAUUUGCUUAUCAGCCUCGUCUUGGAACUGAGGAUGCCAUCAUCUACCUGCUCAAUCGUGUCUACACCCAUCUGGACCAGCCGGCGAGCACUGUGAGGGUCAUGUUUUUUGACUUUUCCAGUGCUUUCA